rnacentral:tRNA from 1 species
GCUGGCGUAGCUCAGUUAGGUAGAGCAGCUGAUUUGUAAUCAGCCGGUCGUUGGUUCAAAUCCAAUCGCCAGCUCCA